UCCAAAUAUAUGGUUACUUUCACCCAACAUUCAUUGGAAAGGCCACCAAAUGAUCCAAAAAUCAAAUAUUUUCAGUGAGGCAAGUCCACCUCCGAUCACCGGCCGAAACGCGUCCUUGGGGCUGCAAAUUUCUAGGCACGGAUUUUUGAGGGCGAGAAAACUGAUUCUGGUCUCGAUUUGACCAAAAAACGCCGUCAUAGGGGUGUUCUAGCGACGAUAGCAAAAGGCGACGUUCUUCCAUCCUUACUUUGUAAUCUCUAGCAAUAUCAAGCAGAACUAAUGGUGGAAAUGAGCUCACAAUGUUGAGGAGGCUCUAUGGUAGGCAUUUGACAUCGAACGACAGUCAGAACGAGAAGAAUGUAGGAGAAUGGUGGCAGUGGCGGUAGUGAGGGGAGCUGUCGGUGAGGAAUAUUGCUCAGGGGCCUCAUUGUAUAUUUUGCAAUAGUCCAACUUAUCAUUGGGCCCUUGAGAUAAAAAAGAAGAAGCUACAUUGUCCCUAAUUUAUAUAUUUGCAAUGAAAUUUGUUAAUUGUGG
rnacentral:lncRNA from 1 species